rnacentral:rRNA from 1 species
UACGAAGGGGGCUAGCGUUGUUCGGAAUUACUGGGCGUAAAGCGCACGUAGGCGGGUCUUUAAGUCAGGGGUGAAAUCCUGGAGCUCAACUCCAGAACUGCCUUUGAUACUGAAGAUCUUGAGUUCGGGAGAGGUGAGUGGAACUGCGAGUGUAGAGGUGAAAUUCGUAGAUAUUCGCAAGAACACCAGUGGCGAAGGCGGCUCACUGGCCCGAUACUGACGCUGUGGCACGAAAGCGUGGGGAGCAAACAGG